CGGCACAGCAAAAUGCAAUCACACAUGUGCCAACACACAGGGGUCAUUCACAUGUUCCUGCAGAAGCGGCUAUAGUUUAUUGAGCGAUGGCAGGACAUGUUCAGACGUAAAUGAAUGUAGUUCCGGCACAGCGAGAUGUACUCACACAUUUGCCAACACACAAGGCUCGUUCACAUGUUCCUGUAGUAGCGGAUAUACGUUAUUGAGCAACGGCAGAACGUGUUCCGAUGUAAAUGAGUGUAAUUUCGGCACAGCGAGAUGAAGUCACAUAUGCACCAACACACCAGGCUCAUUCAUAUGUUCAUGUAGAAGCGGCUAUAUUCUAUCUAGCGACAGCAGAUCAUGUUCUGAUGUAAAUGAGUGUAGUUCGGGCACAGCAGGAUGUAGUCACAUAUGCACCAACACAGCAGGCUCAUUCACAUGUUCAUGUAGAAGCGGCUAUACUUUAUCGGGCGAAGGCAGAUCAUGUUCUGGUUUGUUCUCAAUUACUGCUCACAAUAUGUAUGCAAAAAACUGCAGAAACAAGCUCAGUAGCAAACAGUUUAAACAUAAA